GCAUUGGUGGUUCAGUGGUAGGAUUCUCACCUUCCAGGCAGGAGACUCAGGUUCAAUUCCCAGCCAAUGUA
rnacentral:tRNA from 1 species